rnacentral:rRNA from 1 species
GACUACAGCCAUACCUUCCUGAACACACCUGAUCUUGUCUGAUCUCAGAAGCUAAGCAGGGUCAGGCCUGGUUAGUACUUGGGUGGGAGACAAAUAUUAGUUUUAAUUU